CUUGUCCCAGGUCGUGCCGUCGGCGGCGUUGGCGCUCGCGGCGCCGAGCAGCGGGAUGGCGAUGGCGGAGCCGGUCACUCCGGCCGCGACGAGG
rnacentral:tRNA from 1 species